UUAACCUAAUUCUUUUGAUUUUGGAGAAUUAAAAGCUUUUAUUAUAUUUAUACAUGUUAGUGCAAGCGAAUAAAUGAGUAAAAAUGAAAAUAUUUCAAUAUGCAUCAAAUUAAGUAAGAUUAAAUUUUAUUUAAUUUAAGACGCAAAACUUAAGUCAUGUAAGAACUGAAACAAAGUUUUAUUUACAGCAGUAAAGAAUUUUAAACAAUUGACGUUAGUCUGAUUUAGUAUAAUAAGUUAAUUUUGUCUAAUUAAGUGCCAGCAGACGCGGUUAUACUUAAAAAAUAAGUUUUUAAUAUACAAUACGUUAAAUCUGUAGGUUUUAAUAAAAUAUAAUUAGAUUGAGUUUGAAUAGGUUAAAUUAACAAACUCUUUUAUUUUAUAUUCAAAGAUAGAUUAUAAAUAAACUGAAAGAUGAAAGUAGAGAAACUAAACAGGAUUAGAUACCCUGGUAAGCUCUUCUGUUAAUAAAAAUAAUCGUUUACGUGAACAGUACGUCUAAUAAGAUAAAAAUCAAAAAUUUUGGCUGUUUAUUUUCUAAUUAGAGGAAUAUGUAUUUUAAUUUGAUAAUCCGCAAAAUACCUUACUUGUUUUUGAAAUUACAGGCACUGCAUGGUCGUCCUCAAUUUAAAUCUUUAAUUUAAAUAAAAUCCUAUCUAGGAUGAAGUCAGAUAGUAUGGUCCUGAUAAACAAGGAUAAUAUGUAUUACAAUUAUUAGAACAAUUUAAAUCUAAUAAUAAAAUUUAAUUGUAAAAAUAAAGGAAAGAGAAUUUAAUAGUAACUGAAUGUUAUAAUAAUUCAGUGAAUAAGUUCAAAUAUAAGUACAAAUUGCCCGUCGCCUUUCCUAAUAAUAGUAAUUAAAAGGAGAGUAAGUCGUAACAUAGUGGGAGAAAGGGAACUUUUUCCUGAAU
rnacentral:rRNA from 1 species